rnacentral:rRNA from 1 species
GACCUCAGUUCAGGUGAGAUUACCGG